AAAAGGAAAAGAGAAGGCUAAGGAGUGAAGGAAGAUAUCAUCUCAACAUUUUUGUUGUACAAUUUGAGUCGAAGAGGUAAAGUCAGGAAAGAAGAUUCCUCAUCUCAUCACAUCUUCAAGAGCUUCAGAAGUAGGAAGAGGCUAAACUCAUACUAGAGACUAGAGAGAGUGCAUUGACGGUUACUCAAGGAAAGAAGAUGAUUCAAGUUAAGCAAAAGGGGAAGGCUAAAAUGCAACCCCAAGCUAACAUAAAGAAAGAGACCAAGUGUUUCUUUUGUAAAAAGCAGGGACACUUAAAGAAGGAUUGUGUCAAGUUCAAGAGUUGGAUUGAAAAGAAAGGGAUUAAGAAAUCUAGAGGAACCAGUGGGAGCUAUGCGACACAUCUAUUCAGGAAAUAAGAUGGAGUUGUAUGUGGAAACAAUUGGAACAUGUGACUUAGUACUUAAGAGUGGCUUUGUUUUAAUUUUAGAAAAGACUUUUUGUAUUUCCAGUUUUUCUAGAAAUUUAGUUUUUAUUUCAUGACUUACACCCUUUGGGUAUUGUUUUAGUUU